ensembl:snoRNA
AGCCAGUGAUGACAAACGUAACUUUUCUGACACCUCGUAUGAGAGCUGCACUGUGGCUCCUGAUUCUAACUCUGAUCUGAGGCUC